rnacentral:lncRNA from 1 species
AUUGCACUAAUUAGAUUGCUAGAGCCUAGCAGAUAGAGAAGGCUCUUAUUUGUGCUUCAAAAAUAUUUUUAUUGGUUUUAUCUCACGUAGUAGUCCUUUCAGGUAUCUUCCGUCUUGUGCAAUGUAAACCAAUAAAACAAAUAUUUAAGCAGAAUUAGCUUAGGUGGGACAAGAAAAGGAACAAAGAAAGGAUGAGUUGUUUCAAAAUAGGGAUUAGGACUUACAGAGAAGGCCCUGAUCUGAAUUUUUGAAAGUUAAGUAACAUUGCACUUCUGUGCUUGGAUGUCAGCAUCUGUGUCCAGCAUGUGGCCAGGAUAAGGACAGUUCUGUGUGGCUGAAAGGAAGCCUAAGUAAAGAACAGCAUUUUAUGGCCAGCUAUGUGUUUGCACAUGCCAGCAGCCGCACUGAACGGGUCCUCUGUCAAUGUCUCCGUGCAGGGCGAGGUGAGGCCCGGCUGAGCAGCUACUCCUGACAGCUCCACAGGCCAGUGGAAGCGGGAAGUGAAACUGCUCAGGGCUGCCCAGUGCUGGAGGGAGGAGGCUGCUGGGUCUCACUUUCGAUUCCUGAGGUUUGCACCCAGUGUCACUGGAUGUGUGCACACGGAAGGGAGCUGGCACCUUAACAAGGCAACAAUGUUUUCUCAGGGAAUACUGAGGAAGAAUAUCUCAAAAUGGAAAAAGAAGCUUUUACAGGAUUGGCACCAGAUUACAGUUAUGAAUGGCAACCCUGCAUCCAAGUCUGACAAGCAGAAGCCAAGCAGAAAGGUGGAAGAGCAGAGCACGAGGCUGGCACACAAAUGCCCUCUUCUUCCUUCCUCAGUGUCCCUCCACCAGGCAGUUCUUGAAUCUAGCACACCAAAGAAGCACAGGGUGUGGAGGAGCAAAGUUUCCCAUGCAGGAAAAGGAGAUCCAUGAAAGAAAAAGGAGUGCUGUGGGUGGAUGCUUUGCUAAAGUACGUCAUUGCAUUCCUGUUUAUGAGAGCAGAGCAGCGCUGAACCAGGUUCUUGCUGCAGCUGCUAUCACCAGCACGUGGACAGCUGGAAAUGAUCUGUGUCAGGAGGUGGAGAAAGAAAGGAUGAAGGAAACAAAACAGAAAUGGGGUGUCCUCUUGCUUUUGGGUGACAGUUUGGUUGGACACUGAGAAAUACACAAAACAAAUAAAGAACAUAUCCCUACUGACUAACCUGCA